AUACGGAGGGUGCAAGCGUUACUCGGAAUCACUGGGCGUAAAGCGCGCGCAGGCGGCUUGAUAAGUUGGAUGUGAAAGCCUACGGCUCAACCGUAGAACUGCAUCCAAAACUGUCAGGCUCGAGUGUGGGAGAGGAAGAUGGAAUUAGUUGUGUAGGGGUAAAAUCCGUAGAGAUAACUAGGAAUACCAAAAGCGAAGGCAAUCUUCUGGAACACUACUGACGCUGAGGCGCGAAGGCGUGGGGAGCAAACAGGAUUAGAUACCCCAGUAGUCC
rnacentral:rRNA from 1 species